GAUGAACGCUGGCGGCGUGCCUAAUACAUGCAAGUCGAACGCUGGAGAUCUAGCUUGCUAGAUCGAAGGAGUGGCGAACGGGUGAGUAAUACAUAAGCAACCUACCCACGAAGACUGGGAUAAUCUCUGGAAACGGGGACUAAUACCGGAUAGGUAAUCGGAAGGCAUCUUCUGGUUAUUAAAGGUUAAAAACACUGGUGGAUGGGCUUAUGGCGCAUUAGUUAGUUGGUGAGGUAACGGCCCACCAAGACGAUGAUGCGUAGCCGGCCUGAGAGGGUGAACGGCCACAUUGGGACUGAGACACGGCCCAGACUCCUACGGGAGGCAGCAGUAGGGAAUUUUCGGCAAUGGGGGCAACCCUGACCGAGCAACGCCGCGUGAGUGAAGACGGCCUUCGGGCUGUAAAGCUCUGUUGUAAGGGAAGAACGGUAGAUAGAGAAUAUCUAAGUGACGGUACCUUACCAGAAAGCCACGGCUAACUACGUG
rnacentral:rRNA from 1 species